rnacentral:rRNA from 2 species
AAACCCUGAUGCAGCCAUGCCGCGUGUGUGAAGAAGGCCUUCGGGUUGUAAAGCACUUUCAGUCAGGAGGAAGGUGGUGUAGCUAAUAUCUGCACCAAUUGACGUUACUGACAGAAGAAGCACCGGCUAACUCCGUGCCAGCAGCCGCGGUAAUACGGAGGGUGCGAGCGUUAAUCGGAAUUACUGGGCGUAAAGCGUGCGCAGGCGGACUCUUAAGUCGGUGGUGAAAUCCUGGAGCUCAACUCCAGAACUGCCUUCGAUACUGGGAGUCUCGAGUUCGGGAGAGGUGAGUGGAACUGCGAGUGUAGAGGUGAAAUUCGUAGAUAUUCGCAAGAACACCAGUGGCGAAGGCGGCUCACUGGCCCGAUACUGACGCUGAGGUGCGAAAGCGUGGGGAGCAAACA